GAAAUGCGAUAAGUAAUGUGAAUUGCAGAAUUCAGUGAAUUAUCGAAUCUUUGAACGCACAUUGCGCCCGCCAGUAUUCUGGCGGGCAUGCCUGUUCGAGCGUCAUUUCAACCAUCAAGCCCCCGGGCUUGUGUUGGGGACCUGCGGCUGCCGCAGGCCCCGAAAACCAGUGGCGGGCUCGCUGUCACACCGGGCGUAGUAGAUUUUUCGUCUCGCCCAGGGCGUGCUGCGGGUUCCGGCCGUUAAAAAGCCUCUCUUUUAACCCAAGGUUGACCUCGGAUCAGGUAGGAAGACCCGCUGAACUUAAGC
rnacentral:misc_RNA from 1 species